GCAAUAGCUUCUUCUUUCUUCUCAACUUUCUCUUCUGGUUCAGUAUCGACUUUUUCCACCUCAUUUGGCUCGGUUUCUGUUUCUUUCUUGGUUUCAUCUGGUUUAGCUUCUGGUUCUUUGGUUUCUUCGGCCUCUGGUUGUGGCUCUGGUGCCACCUUUGCAGGUUGUUCCACAGAGCUAACCUCCUUACCUUCUUCUUUAUCUUCAUCGUUGAGCACUAACUUGGUUUCAGCCUCAACUGCAAGGGCUUCAGAUUCGGCUUCUGGUUCUGGUUCAGGAGCUACAAGUUCAGAUUCUGGUUUAGGUUGAGGUGCAACCGUGUAAGCAGGUUCUUUAGCAAGCUGGUCUUCUUCUUGUGGUGUAGUUACUGUUGUUUCUUGAUCAUUUGUGUUCUUGAUGUCGUCUUCAGGUUUCUUAAUUAGUUGAUCUUCUCUUUUCUCAUCAUGAAAUGCUGUUGUUGCGGAUACAACCUGCGUGAUUCGAAGAGUAAUCCAUUCACCGCACUAAAAAAUUGUUUGCGACCAAGCCGCUUAAAUACUUCAGUCUUUAGCUAUCUUUUUUCUAUGACCCUUACAAGGGUCGGACAUCUAAUCUUGAUUGGUGUUAAAAGAUAUAUUAAUAUAUUAUUUUGUCAUGUGGUCUCGUUAAAAAAUGUAACAGUUUUUAAAAGUUGAUAAUUCUUAAACGGACGUUAAUUAUAUUGUCGAACAAGAAGAUUGAUUAACAAGUACAAUUUAUAAAACCGAUUAGGGUUUUUAUGAAAAGAGAGAGUUACCUGAGCAGUAGCCAUUUCUUGUAGAUACAAACGCAGAGAAGAAGAAUGUGAGGAUGUUGAUUAAU
rnacentral:lncRNA from 1 species